rnacentral:rRNA from 1 species
UACGUAGGGGGGCAAGCGUUGUCCGGAUUUAUUGGGCGUAAAGAGCGUGUAGGCGGCCAAGCAGGUCAGCUGUGAAAACUCGAGGCUCAACCUCGAGACGUCGGUUGAAACCGCUUGGCUAGAGUCCGGAAGAGGAGAGUGGAAUUCCCGGUGUAGCGGUGAAAUGCGUAGAUAUCGGGAAGAACACCCGUGGCGAAGGCGGCUCUCUGGGACGGUACUGACGCUGAGACGCGAAAGCGUGGGGAGCGAACAGG